rnacentral:tRNA from 1 species
GGACGUAGUUCAUUUGGUAGAGCGUCAGCUUCCCAAGCUGAAUGUAGCGGGUUCGAGUCCCGUCGUCCG